CCUACGGGGGGCAGCAGUUAGGAAUCUUCCACAAUGGGCGAAAGCCUGAUGGAGCGACACUGCGUGAAGGAUGAAGGUCUUAGGAUUGUAAACUUCUGAACUAGGGACGAAAAUGACGGUACCUAGGUAAUAGCACCGGCUAACUCCGUGCCAGCAGCCGCGGUAAUACGGAGGGUGCGAGCGUUAUCCGGAAUCACUGGGCGUAAAGGGUACGUAGGCGGUUUUUUAAGUCCGAUGUCAAAUUUCAGGGCUCAACCCUGAAUCGGCGUUGGAUACUGGAUGACUAGACUACUGGAGAGGUAAGUAGAAUUACCAGUGUAGCGGUGGAAUGCGUAGAUACUGGUAGGAAUACCCAUAGCGAAGGCAGCUUACUGGACAGAUAGUGACGCUAAGGUACGAAAGCGUGGGGAGCAAACAGGAUUAGAUACCCUAGUAGUC
rnacentral:rRNA from 1 species